GACGAACGCUGGCGGCGUGCUUAACACAUGCAAGUCGAACGGAAAGGCCCUGCUUUUGUGGGGUGCUCGAGUGGCGAACGGGUGAGUAACACGUGAGUAACCUGCCCUUGACUUUGGGAUAACUUCAGGAAACUGGGGCUAAUACCGGAUAGGAGCUCCUGCUGCAUGGUGGGGGUUGGAAAGUUUCGGCGGUUGGGGAUGGACUCGCGGCUUAUCAGCUUGUUGGUGGGGUAGUGGCUUACCAAGGCUUUGACGGGUAGCCGGCCUGAGAGGGUGACCGGCCACAUUGGGACUGAGAUACGGCCCAGACUCCUACGGGAGGCAGCAGUGGGGAAUAUUGCACAAUGGGCGGAAGCCUGAUGCAGCAACGCCGCGUGCGGGAUGACGGCCUUCGGGUUGUAAACCGCUUUCGCCUGUGACGAAGCGUGAGUGACGGUAAUGGGUAAAUAAGCACCGGCUAACUACGU
rnacentral:rRNA from 1 species